rnacentral:rRNA from 1 species
UCCAGACUCCUACGGGAGGCAGCAGUGGGGGAUAUUGCACAAUGGGGGGAACCCUGAUGCAGCGACGCCGCGUGGGUGAAGGAGCGUUUCGGCGCGUAAAGCCCUAUCGGCAGGGAAGAAGGAGGACGGUACCUGACUAAGAAGCCCCGGCUAACUACGUGCCAGCAGCCGCGGUAAUACGUAGGGGGCAAGCGUUAUCCGGAUUUACUGGGUGUAAAGGGAGCGUAGACGGCUGUGCAAGCCAGAUGUGAAAGCCCGGGGCUCAACCCCGGGACUGCAUUUGGAACUGCGUGGCUUGAGUGUCGGAGAGGCAGGCGGAAUUCCUAGUGUAGCGGUGAAAUGCGUAGAUAUUAGGAGGAACACCAGUGGCGAAGGCGGCCUGCUGGACGAUGACUGACGUUGAGGCUCGAAAGCGUGGGGAGCAAACAGGAUUAGAUACCCUAGUAAAC